GGAGUUGUAGCUCAGUGGUACAGCACUUGCCUAGCACUCACAAAGCCCUGGGUUCAAACCCCCAGCACUACCA
rnacentral:tRNA from 1 species